UUUUUGAAACACUUGGUGAUACUGCGGUUAAAUCCACAGGAUUGAGACCAAAUGUUGGAAGGCCUUUGUGAGAUAUUUUGUUUUGAUCAAAUUUGGAUUUUUUUUUUUUUAUUUUGUGAAAGUUAUUUAGGCAAGGGGAUUCCACUGUGACGGAAUCAUUGUUCCCGAUGGGACACUUGUAUUGCCGCAACGCGCACUGUACUAUCGGUACACCGCGCACGCUCUCCAAACGGUGGGGUUUUUCUCGUGGACGUGCAUGAAGAAUUCCAGGGGGGGUAUCACCAACUAUGGUAGUAUAUUCUGGUGGAAGGUGGGGAGUUUGAAAGGGAACUCGCAAGAGUGGCGUCAUCUGAAGGACGCCUGUUGAUGCCCCAGGGUGCAGUGAUAAGGGGAUAUUACCGAUACCGACAACGGUUUCGAGGAAAUCAUAUUUUACCUCCCGUCCUCAUAAUGUCAAGUGGAUUUUCACGAGACAAAAAAAAUUGACAAUUCAAUACCAAUGAUUUGUUUUGGUUUUGAUCGCAUUGCUCAAGGUCAACACCCUCAGGGUGCCGAUAACUCGAAGUGCUCAGCAUUUCUGCAGCGAAGAGGCAAAAAAUAAUCCCCGACAUGAAUGUAUUUUUGCUGUGCUCCAGGACGACGAUCUCAUUUUAUUUAUAGAGAAUAACAUAUGCGUUAAAGUCUGUCAGAGAACGGAUGGAAAGAGUAAAAGUUAUACUUGAAGGGUCGAAAUACUCGAUUAAAUGAGUCUGGUAGAAACAGAGAUACAAAUACGAGUCAAGGGUUAUAACUGUCUGAAUGCCAGUACCAGAAGAGGGAGAGACACGUGAUGACACAUUUGGAAACAAAGGACUUUUGCUCAAUCUCGUUGGACUCGACAUGCUCAAGAAAUUAUUCAACUCUCACAGAACACUCAACUACCACUAAAACACUCGGC